rnacentral:lncRNA from 1 species
AGUUUUUCACUUUUCAUAUAUUUAAAAUUUAAUCUCUAUACUUUUAUUUUCAGGAAUUUAGUUUCUAUACGUUUCGAAUUUAAAAAUUUAAGUCAAUUUGUUAAUACUGCUAAAAUUCUUUUGUGCUAGAGUGACAUUUUGAAAAAAAUAAAGUAAACUUAGUAUUCAUAUAACAAAAAAAUUAACAUUGUAACGGAUCUAAAUUUAAUAAAAAAAUUUAACGGUGCUAACAAUUCUUAAAAAUUUAUAUAAUCAUUUU